rnacentral:rRNA from 1 species
CAGCCGCCGCGGGAAUACGAAGGGGGCUAGCGUUGCUCGGAAUCACUGGGCGUAAAGGGUGCGUAGGCGGGUCUUUGAGUCAGAGGUGAAAUCCUGGAGCUCAACUCCAGAACUGCCUUUGAUACUGGAGAUCUCGAGUUCGGGAGAGGUGAGUGGAACUGCGAGUGUAGAGGUGAAAUUCGUAGAUAUUCGCAAGAACACCAGUGGCGAAGGCGGCUCACUGGCCCGAUACUGACGCUGAGGCACGAAAGCGUGGGGAGCAAACAGGAUUAGAUACCCCGGUAGUCCCUGUCUCUUAUAC